AUACGUAGGGGGCGAGCGUUGUCCGGAAUGAUUGGGCGUAAAGGGCGCGUAGGCGGCGCGGUAAGUCUGGAGUGAAAGUCCUGCUUUCAAGGUGGGAAUUGCUUUGGAUACUGCCGCGCUUGAGUGCAGGAGAGGUUAUCGGAAUUCCCGGUGUAGCGGUGAAAUGCGUAGAGAUCGGGAGGAACACCAGUGGCGAAGGCGGGUAACUGGACUGCAACUGACGCUGAGGCGCGAAAGUGUGGGGAGCAAACAGGAUUAGAUACCCUGGUAGUCCACACUGUAAACGAUGAAUGCUAGGUGUAAGAGGUAUCGACCCCUUUUGUGCCGGAGUUAACACAAUAAGCAUUCCGCCUGGGGAGUACGGCCGCAAGGUUGAAACUCAAAUGAAUUGGCGGGG
rnacentral:rRNA from 1 species